ensembl:snoRNA SNORD63 Small nucleolar RNA SNORD63
GUGCAAUGAUGCAUUCUAUUCAUCAACACAUCAUUCUGAAAAGACAGGUGUGUAGAAAGUUAAUGACUGAGCACG